GGAAAGUAAGUCUAAAUAAGACAGUGGAUGUCGGCUCACAAACCAUAGCCUAACCCUAUGACUUUCUC
rnacentral:tRNA from 1 species